GAUCAAGUGUGCCAUGCGUGCUGCUAUGAGAAGUUGUAUGUUCUCUUUCCUCAUAGGGUGAAAUCGGCACCGCGUAUUGCACCUGACAAACCGACUCGGAAUGGUGCAGCUGCGCUCUUCAACUGUGUGCCUUGGUGCUGGAAACACUGCGGGAGCCUGCGAAGGGCAGAACUAAACUCAGCUGGUGCCAGUAGUCUGUGCUGUUACAGUGUGGGAGUUACAGCAGCAAAGCAAGAGCGUUAGGAAAUGAAAAUGGGGCCAGAUCAUGUUGUUCGAGUCCUGGACAGAAAUUUGGCUCAGAAGGCUCAAAUCUCUUGGACUUUGAAGGCUAGUCUCCUCAUAAAGUAAUAUCUUCAGGCAUAAGAGUAGCAACAUAUAAAGAAAGGUAAGUUCAUCUGAGACUGUUAGUU
rnacentral:lncRNA from 1 species